GCCCCCAUAGCGCAGUGGCUAGCGCAUUCCACUUCUAGGCCUUUUAGUGCAGCUGAAAUGGAGGGGUCCGGAGUUCGACCCUCCGUGGGGGUU